AGAAUCAACGCUGGCGGCGUGCCUAACACAUGCAAGUCGCACGAGAAAGGGGGAGCAAUCCCUGAGUAAAGUGGCGCACGGGUGAGUAACACGUGAAUAAUCUACCUCCGAGUGGGGAAUAACUGAGAGAAAUCUUAGCUAAUACCGCAUAACACUUACGAGUCAAAGCAGCAAUGCGCUUGGAGAGGAGUUCGCGGCCGAUUAGUUAGUUGGCGGGGUAAUCGGCCCACCAAGACGAUGAUCGGUA
rnacentral:rRNA from 1 species